UUCCAAUUCUCUUCAAUUUCAUCCCCCUCUCUCAAUUCUCAAGCAAAAACCAGAUCAACAAUGGCGUGCCAAAACCCUAACAUCCGAACCCCAAUGUACCCCGACGUGAUCCAAUCACAUCCAGACACCUCAUCCUCAUUUCUCCCAAACCCUAACCCUAACCCUAACCCUAACACAUCUUCCUCUCUCUACCCCACACUCGACAUGAAAGACCUCGUCGACAACCUAUUCCCUGAAAAUUACGAAACUGCCCCUAAACCCAACGCUAACUCCCCUUCCGCCCCUCCCGUGUCCCUCGAAGAGGUCCUCAUCACCGUCCCCGGAUCGAUCCUCCAUCUGAUCGACAAAGAGUACAGCGUCGAGCUCGCUUGCGGCGAUUUCGCCCUAAUUUGCCUCCGACAAGCCGAUAACGUCGUCGCCGUCAUCGCCUGCGUCGGCAGCGAGAUCCAAUGGCCUCUGACGAAGGACGAGGCCGUUGUCAAGCUCGACGACUCGCAUUACUUCUUCUCAUUCUGCGCGCCAAAAGAGAGCGAAUCGGAUUCGUAUGUCUCCGAUGAUGUGUUGAAUUACGGAUUGUCGAUUGCGUCGAAAGGGCAAGAGGGUUUGUUGAAGCAAUUGGAUGGAGUUUUGGAGAAAUAUAGUAGUUUUUCGGUGCAGAAGGUGGAGGGGAAGGAGAAGUCGGAGGUGUUGGACGGAACGGUGGCGAGGGAGCUGUCUCCGGCGGACUUGAAGUCGGAGGAGAAGAAGGAGUUGAUGGAGGAGAGGUGCGCGGCGUACUGGACGACGUUGGCGCCCAAUGUGGAGGAAUACAGUGGGACUGCGGCGAAGAUGAUCGCGGCGGGCUCCGGGCAGCUGAUCAAGGGGAUUUUGUGGUGUGGUGAUGUGACUAUUGAGAGAUUGAAAUGGGGAAAUGAGGUUCUGAAGAAGAGGAUGAAACCCGGUGAGAAGUCGGAAGUCAGUCCGGACACAUUGAAGAGGAUCAAAAGGGUCAAGAGAGUGACAAAGAUGACAGAGAAAGUAGCAACUGGGGUCCUUUCUGGGGUAGUGAAGGUUUCAGGGUUCUUCACGGGGAAAGUGGCAAACUCAAAAUUGGGAAAGAAGUUCUUUGGCCUCUUGCCAGGGGAAAUUGUCCUUGCUUCCUUGGAUGGAUUUAGCAAGGUCUGUGAUGCUGUUGAAGUAGCUGGAAAGAAUGUUAUGUCAACCUCAUCCACUGUGACGACCGGACUUGUCUCGCACAGGUACGGUGAAGAUGCAGCUAAGGCAACAAAUGAAGGGCUUGGUGCUGCAGGACAUGCCGUGGGGACUGCAUGGACUGUUUUUAAAAUUCGAAAAGCACUCAAUCCAAAAAGUGUUCUCAAACCUACUACCCUGGCCAAGUCUGCUGCAAAAAAAACUGCUGCUGAGAUGAAGGCGGCUAAGAGUUCCAAGUAGAUGAUCGUUGUUAAUUUGGUCGCUAGCUCGAUGUUAAAUGUCUAGCUAGCUCUUGUACAUGGUGUGGCAUUGGUUAAGUUAGCAGGCUUGGCUCCGUGCACCGCCUAUUGAAAACUCUUCAGUUGUCUGUGCAAGAAGGUACAAAAGAUGAAGGAAGCCAGACAGAUAUGAGCAAGCUGUUGGCAGACCAGUCUUUUGUUUCAUCUAUCCUUGCUUCGCUUCCAGGGGUUGAUCCGAAUGAUCCUUCAGUCAAAGAUUUACUCGCAUCUAUGCAGAGUCAGUCUGAGUCCCAACAGGAGAAGAACGAGGAGGAUAAGGAAAAAAAUGAGGAUGACAAAAAGUGAUGAUGCUGUGGAUUUGAUGUCCAAUGUCGACAGGACAGGUAGUUCUCCUUUGUGGUUGGAAUGGUGGUUAUUACAUGCCUAUGGAGGACUUUAUAAAUGACCGUUUGCAUGGAUAGGGCUUCAAUUGAAUUUUAUUUCUGUACUGCUUCAUUAUAAUGUGAACUUUCUUCCUUCUUUCUAAUUAAUUAUAUAUAUAUAUAUAAUUUUAUUAAGGAUCUUUCUAAUUAUAUUAUUUACUCAAAUGAAAAUUGAUGUUUUUCAUA